UACGUAGGGGGCGAGCGUUGUCCGAAGUUACUGGGCGUAAAGAGCGCGUAGGCGGGCUUCUAAGUGAGAGGUGAAAGGUUCGGGCUCAACCCGGAGAGUGCCUUUCAUACUGGGAGCCUUGAGUGCGGUAGAGGGUAGUGGAAUUCCCGGUGUAGCGGUGAAAUGCGUAGAGAUCGGGAGGAACACCAGUGGCGAAGGCGGCUACCUGGACCAGCACUGACACUGAGGCACGAAAGCGUGGGGAGCAAACAGG
rnacentral:rRNA from 1 species